rnacentral:lncRNA from 1 species
CUAGAGAUUGUGGUGUACACGGCGGGUCUGUGCAUGUGGCUGGUGAGCUUUCGCUGAAGUUUAGGGCAUGACAUAAAUAGUAGAAUUAAGUGACACUGUGAGGACUGAAAUUUUGACUGUAUAACUAAACUAUAUGUUGACGAUGUUUUAAUAUGUAAUUUAAUUACAUAAGCACUCAUCAAGUUUCAAGAGAAAACGAGUUAGGAUGGAGAAGUUACGCGACCUGUAUUAAUCACUUAAAGUGAAUAGUAAAUGAUUUUUAGGAGAGGCCAAUCAGUGGAGAU